rnacentral:tRNA from 1 species
GCACCCAUAGUUCAAUGGAUAGAACUGCAGUUUCCGGAACUGCUGGUGUAGGUUCGAUUCCUACUGGGUGCACCA